UGAGCUACAUCCCUGCCGGCCAUUCCCUCCCUUACCCUGGACAACGGGCCAAUUGUGCGCCGCCCCGUGGGUCUCCCGGGCGCGGACGGCUACGACAGACCACUGCGCCACUCGGGAGUACAUGAUGAGUUCCUCCUGAAAAUGGAUGACGAGGACUUUGACAAGGUUAUCCAAGUCAACCUAAAGGGUGCAUUUCUCCUGUUGGAAAGGCUCUAGUUGCCAGUGGAGCUCCUAAAGGCUCCAUCAUUACUGUGGGCAAUAUUGGACAGGUGAACUACUCUGCUUCCAAAGCAGGUGUGGAGAGCCUGACCAGAACUGCAGCCAAGGAGCUGAGCAGCUUACCUCCAUGCUCUCACUGGGGAGGAUGGGAGAGCCUGCAGAGGUAGCUGAUGUAUGUGCCUUUCUGGCUUCAGAGGACUCUCGCUACAUCACUGGAACCAGUAUUGAAGUAACAGGAGGCCUUUUAAUUGGCUGAGACAACUUUCCAUCAUCCUCAUGAAGACCAAAAAGGCAAGAUCAAUCUUGUUUUGUAAUAUGGACAGUGUAAAUGGGGUUGUGCAAUAAAUUAAAACCUAUGUAA